GAUGAGCGCUAGCUACAGGCUUAACACAUGCAAGUCGAGGGGUAACGAGAGGAAAGCUUGCUUUCCUUGUCGACGACCGGCGCACGGGUGAGUAACGCGUAUCCAACCUGCCCCCAACUAGGGAAUAACCUUGCGAAAGUAAGACUAAUACCCUAUAAUUUCCUCAGAUGACAUCUGACGAGGAAUAAAGAUUUAUCGGUUGUGGAUGGGGAUGCGUCUGAUUAGCUUGUUGGCGGGGUAACGGCCCACCAAGGCAACGAUCAGUAGGUGUUCUGAGAGGAAGUUCCCCAACAUUGGAACUGAGACACGGUCCAAACUCCUACGGGAGGCAGCAGUGAGGAAUAUUGGUCAAUGGGCGGAAGCCUGAACCAGCCAAGUAGCGUGCAGGAUGACGGCCCUAUGGGUUGUAAACUGCUUUUAUACAGGAAUAAAGUUAGCCACGUGUGGUUAUUUGUAGGUACUGUAUGAAUAAGGACCGGCUAAUUCCGUGCCAGCCGCCGCCGUAA
rnacentral:rRNA from 1 species